rnacentral:rRNA from 1 species
UACGUAGGUGGCAAGCGUUGUCCGGAAUUACUGGGUGUAAAGGGAGCGUAGGCGGGAAGACAAGUUGAAUGUUUAAACUAUCGGCUCAACCGAUAAUCGCGUUCAAAACUGUUUUUCUUGAGUGAAGUAGAGGCAGGCGGAAUUCCUAGUGUAGCGGUGAAAUGCGUAGAUAUUAGGAGGAACACCAGUGGCGAAGGCGGCCUGCUGGACGACAACUGACGGUGAGGCGCGAAAGCGUGGGGAGCAAACAGG